rnacentral:misc_RNA from 1 species
GUGUUGUUGUUGUUGUUGAUGAUGAUGAUGAUCGAUGGAUGGACGAUUGACGAUCGCGCAUCUUGUCUUGGACACGGCGCGCGAUCGUCAGUCAAUCAGCCAGUCAGCCAGUCAGUCAGUCAGUCAGUCAGUCAAUCAAUCGCUUGUUCGCAUUAGUAGUUAUUGUGGCCGACUGCAACGCGUGUAAACAAACACCAUGUGGAUGAUGUGAUGUCUGCACUCGCUGCCCGCUGCCCCUGACAUAGUCUUGUGCGGCUGGCGCAAGCACCCCCACACUCACACUGUACUGAUCCUUCCGCAGGUUCACCUACGGAAA